GAUCUUUGAAAGUUAUGGGGAUCAGACCGGAGAGUGAAACUGCAGGUCAUAAUCACCAGGAGGAUCAAGUUUGAUGAUUCAACUCCACCUUGAACUCUUUAUCUUCGAAAGCCAUUGGCAUUUUACUCCCACCUCAUAACAGGUGAUAGAGCGGUGCAGCUGUCUCACAGCUCUUGAUCUAGGUUGAAUCUUCUAGUGUGGAGUUUGCAGGUUUUCUCUGUGACUUUCGUCCCACAUCCUAAAGCAGUGUGAGUGGUAGGUUAAGUGACCACUGUAAAUUGCCCCUGAUGGACGUAGAUUGUUUGAUUAGGGAAAUGAAUGGCUAAAUGGCAUUGCUCUCCGAGCUGACACAGACUUGGUGGGUUGAAUGGACGUUCUAUGUUUGUGUUUUCAGGGGAAAGAUGGAGAAAAAAAAGACUUUAAAACAUUUCCAGCCACUGUGUAUAAAUUGUCUGCUUCGGGCGAGAGUCAGUGAAGAAUGAUUAAAACCUGUUGGACACUCCAUGGCUUCACAAUCCGACAGCCUGCGAAAGUCCUUUGACUAUUGCACCCCCACCGAUACAUGAUUCGGUUUACAAAUCAUAAUUAUGGUAAUAACUUCAGGCAAGACAUUUCCGGUCCAUCCAGCUCAAUAAUCCAUGCUUUCCAUUUUUAAAAAUAAUUCUGCCGCCCUAUUGGGAAGAAAUUUCAAUUUUCCUAAUGGAUCUAUCUGUUACUUGCUUGUUCCUCCAGCUCGACAACAAUUCUGUCAUUCAAAACUAUACCAAGAGGUGGCAGUGAGAACUUUGAUUCAUCAGUUCGACAAGCAAAGAUAUAUUAGAAACAAUUGGUUUUGUAACUGAAGUCACAGACAGUAUAGAUCUGGCACCUUUGUAGAUUAUUCAAGUCUUCUGUAAUUUAUAUCAAUUACCAAGGUUCCAUUACCUUGGAGGUGAAUUCCGAGUCGUAAUACGAAGACUGUUCGACCAAAUAUUGAGGCAAGAAAGAAACAGCAGCUUCAGAUGCAUGUUUCCCGCUUGCAGGGGGCCGCAUCUCCUUGCUCUGUGACAAUAGCAGGGUCGGCGGCGUGAAUGCCUGUACUGGUCGGCGGUGACUGGUCAGUGAGGGGGUGGGGGGUGACGGUGCCGGUAGAGAACGUUUCAAGCCACUGGGCUGUCUGGAGCGGCCUGGCCAAUGUUCUGCCCCCUAGACCACAAGCUCCCAAUCAUGGGAGGAACGUAGGCAUUCACCCGUGCACCGUGGAGGAGAGGGGGGAAGCUGGCCUGUAAGUGCUAAAGGCUAGCUUUACAAUUGCUGCUGGCAAGUGACAAUGUUGGGCGGGCUAUCCAUGCGGGACGAUGAAGUUAGGUUCAAGCAAAUCGCAGGGACACUGCGGAUAAAGCUGGUCUGCGGUAAGGAAAAGAUUUAAUGGGAAAUGCUCGGCAUUCUUCUUCAAAUGGCAACAGCGACGCCAGCGUCAGGUUUGAACAGCAGCCGAGCCGGGAUGUUCCUGAUCGCUUUUGGACUUUUGCUCCAGCUCUUUUUCUGCCAUGCGUUGGCUGACUCUACCUUCUUGGACAAAGCUUUCUCAUUGCAAACAGCAUUGGCACCAGUGGAACACAAGAAAAGAAGCAUUAACAAAUGCUGCCUUCUGACCCCUCCACCACCUCCAAUGUUUCCACCACCUGCCUUCAUGGAAAUUAAAAGUCUACAAGAAGAUAAUUUGCAAAACUUACCCCUGGAAAUAAAGCCAACCGAACCUUCAUGUAAAGUAACAGGUAUAAUUGGUCCUCCUGGGCCUUCAGGUCCCCAGGUAAGAAUAAUAAACAUUUUGAGAUGAAUAAGGUCAUUUGAAAAUCAAUCUUUUGGUCUAAAUUUAUAUUAAAU